rnacentral:rRNA from 1 species
UAGGGAAUCUUCGGCAAUGGGGGGAACCCUGACCGAGCAACGCCGCGUGAGUGAAGAAGGUUUUCGGAUCGUAAAGCUCUGUUGUUAAGGAAGAACGAGUGUGAGAAUGGAAAGUUCAUACUGUGACGGUACUUAACCAGAAAGGGACGGCUAACUACGUGCCAGCAGCCGCGGUAAUACGUAGGUCCCGAGCGUUGUCCGGAUUUAUUGGGCGUAAAGCGAGCGCAGGCGGUCAAUUAAGUCUGAUGUGAAAGCCCCCGGCUCAACCGGGGAGGGUCAUUUGAAACUGGUUGACUUGAGUGCAGAAGAGGAGAGUGGAAUUCCAUGUGUAGCGGUGAAAUGCGUAGAUAUAUGGAGGAACACCAGUGGCGAAGGCGACUCUCUGGUCUGUAACUGACGCUGAGGCUCGAAAGCGUGGGUAGCAAACAGG